UUCCCGCACAGAACAAUGACCUCUCGUGAGCCCGUGCUUUCCAACCUCACCGAGGGUUACUGUGCAGCCCUGAUUCCUCCCCUGAUUAUCUUGAAGCCUGUCAAGCUGUAAGGUUCUCCCUCCGCUCUCUGCUCUUUCUUCCUAAUAGACAUGAAACAGUCCAGUCAAUAAUAUUUUACUUGUCUUCCCACUGCGUGUCUCUUCUUCUGAUCAGUUUAGGCGGGUUUGACUGCAGAAAGUCAGAAGGGAGGUUAAGAUCUGAAAAGUUCAGCCAAAUGUUAUCAGCCUCAGAGAUGUUGCUAAGGGAGAGGCCCCCCAGCCCUUGGCGACCGGAGCCAAUAAUAGCUGCGAUGCACUGAUAGCGUCAACGCCUGUCAGAGAUCCAGGCGUUUGCGGUUCGUCUGUAAACGCAAACACCUGUAUCCAGUCAAGCUAUGAUGGUUAUCCUCUCUUUGCCUGUCAUUCCCUUAGGUUCCUUGAAGGGGCUGCCAGGAUGUUCUAAGCUGUGAGUUGAUUUAUAAAGUGAAGGAUCUCUCCGAAACUUUGGCAUGGACGGGGAAAUUGACUAAAGCGCGCCUCUCCUCCAGGGGGUGACGCGGCCUUUUGACAAUGCCUCACCCUUUAAGAAGUGACACGUCUAAUUUGGAUCUGGGAUUGGUGGAAGAAUUCAGGUGUCCAGCUAAUAAUAA